rnacentral:rRNA from 1 species
AGUGAACGCUGGCGGUAGGCCUAACACAUGCAAGUCGAACGGCAGCACAGUAAGAGCUUGCUCUUACGGGUGGCGAGUGGCGGACGGGUGAGGAAUACAUCGGAAUCUACUUUUUCGUGGGGGAUAACGUAGGGAAACUUACGCUAAUACCGCAUACGACCUACGGGUGAAAGCAGGGGAUCUUCGGACCUUGCGCGACUGAAUGAGCCGAUGUCGGAUUAGCUAGUUGGCGGGGUAAAGGCCCACCAAGGCGACGAUCCGUAGCUGGUCUGAGAGGAUGAUCAGCCACACUGGAACUGAGACACGGUCCAGACUCCUACGGGAGGCAGCAGUGGGGAAUAUUGGGCAAAGGGCGCAAGCCUGAUCCAGCCAUACCGCGUGAGUGAAGAAGGCCUUCGGGUUGUAAAGCCCUUUUGUUGGGAAAGAAAAGCAGCAGGUUAAUACCCCGCUGUUCUGACGGUACCCAAAGAAUAAGCACCGGCUAACUUCGUG